UUUGGGCUGUGAAAUGCCCCUCCCCCCCCCAUGGCAACCCCGGACCUUCCUUAGGGACCAUCCCCCUCUCUCCCUCCCUGGGCUCACCCUCCCCUGGGAGCCAGGAUCCAGGAUCCGCAGAAAAAAGCACCUUGGGAGUCUUUUGCCCUCUGCUCUGGCUCCCUCUGGACCCCGGAGAGAGGAGGGGAAGGUGGAGAGGAAAUUGAUUUCUCUCGCACAGACUGAGGCAGCGUAUGAGAGAGGGAAGAAGAAACAUUUGGCCGGGAUGAUGAAAGUGCUGUUGGGCCCUGCAAUCAAGAAAAGAGGCUGAACAUUCACUUAAUUAGGAUGCACCAUUAAUUUCACUGUCUCAAGAACAUACAAAGUCUUUUGCCCCUUUUAAUGAAAAUGACAAGAAACUGA